rnacentral:rRNA from 1 species
GAGUUUGAUCGUGGCUCAGAUUGAACGCUGGCGGCAUGCCUUACACAUGCAAGUCGAACGGCAGCACGGGAGCUUGCUCCUGGUGGCGAGUGGCGAACGGGUGAGUAAUGCAUCGGAACGUAUCCUGGAGUGGGGGAUAACGUAGCGAAAGUUACGCUAAUACCGCAUAUUCUGUGAGCAGGAAAGCGGGGGACCUUCGGGCCUCGCGCUCUUGGAGCGGCCGAUGUCGGAUUAGCUAGUUGGUGAGGUAAAGGCUCACCAAGGCGACGAUCCGUAGCAGGUCUGAGAGGAUGAUCUGCCACACUGGAACUGAGACACGGUCCAGACUCCUACGGGAGGCAGCAGUGGGAAUUUUGGACAGUGGGGGCAACCCUGAUCCAGCCAUGCCGCGUGAGUGAAGAAGGCCUCGGUUGUAAG